GACGAACGCUGGCGGCGUGCUUAACACAUGCAAGUCGUACGGUAAGGCCCUUUCGGGGGUACACGAGUGGCGAACGGGUGAGUAACACGUGAGUAACCUGCCCACAACUUUGGGAUAACGCUAGGAAACUGGUGCCAAUACUGGAUAUGUGCUCCUGCUGCAUGGUGGGGGUUGGAAAGCUCCGGCGGUUGUGGAUGGACUCGCGGCCUAUCAGCUUGUUGGUGGGGUAGUGGCCUACCAAGGCGGCGACGGGUAGCCGGCCUGAGAGGGUGACCGGCCACAUUGGGACUGAGGUACGGCCCAGACUCCGACGGGAGGCAGCAGUGGGGAAUAUUGCACGAUGGGCGCCAGCCUGAUGCAGCAACGCCGCGUGCGGGAUGACGGCCUUCGGGUUGUAAACCGCUUUCAGCAGGGACGAAGCUUUUUGUGACGGUACCUGCAGAAGAAGCACCGGCUAACUACGUG
rnacentral:rRNA from 1 species